rnacentral:misc_RNA from 1 species
UUUGAUAUACGAAUUCAUAGAAAGAGGAAGUUUGAGAACAAUUUUAAGCAACGAAGAAGAAGCAGUGGAGUUAGAUUGGAGUAAGAGGCUAAAUAUUGUUAAAGGAAUAGCAAAUGCUUUGUCUUACAUGCACCAUGACUGCUCUCCGCCAAUUAUCCACCGAGACAUUUCCAGUAACAAUAUUUUGUUGGAUUCAGAGUUUGAGGCCCAUGUCUCUGAUUUUGGCAUAGCUAGGCUAUUGAUGCCUGACUCCUCAAAUUGGACAUCAUUUGCGGGCACGGUCGGGUACACAGCACCAGGUGUAUAUCUUAAUUUUAUUUACUAUUAUUAUUAUUACUAUGUCUAUUAGGUUAUUAGUUAUUCUUUCUUGGUAUGUUUUUCUUUUUUGGAUCAUCUAAAAAUCGAUUGACUCCGUACAAUUUUUUUUUUUUUAAGAGUUGGCAUACACAAUGGCAGUCAAUGAAAAAUGCGACAUCUAUAGCUUUGGUGUGGUCACACUCGAAAUACUAAUGGGAAAACAUCCAGGAGAUGUUGUCUCAUCUCUUUCAUCUUCAACUCCACCAAUGGACCAACAAACACUUAUGAAAGAUGUGAUUGAUCAAUGCCUGCCAACUCCUAAAAAUAAAGAUGCUGAAGGAGUGAUCCAUGUUGCAAAACUAGCACUUGGAUGCCUAAGUACAAAUCCUCAAUCUCGACCAACCAUGACACAAGUUUCUUCAAAGUUGAUGAUGGCCCAGUGGCAUCCAUUAACAAAGGUAUUCUCGUAAAUAAAAUUGGGAGAAAUUUUGGUCCACGAUGGGUUCAGUGCCUAAGCAAUUCUGGGAAAUUAAGAUCUUUGUACUUUUUUUUUUCCUCUCCAAACCUUGUAUAAUAUAUUUGGUUGGAGCAAAAAUGAAGUGUCAAUUUCAACUUUUUAAUAGACCUGAUCUUGACGUGGGUAGUUGUAAAUUUUAAAUCACAAUCACAAUUAUAGUCCUAGUAACCUUUGCUAUUGCAGAAGUUAGACUUUAAUUUUAAUUUCCUUAGUCUUGGGCUAAGUCUUGCCUUAUUCUGUAUGUAACUUCGAAUUUUUCAUCAAGAGAAACCAAG